rfam:Candidatus Woykebacteria bacterium RIFCSPLOWO2_01_FTLL_41_12 rifcsplowo2_01_scaffold_27842, whole genome shotgun sequence.
UCUUUGGAGAGUUUGAUCCUGGCUCAGGGUGAACGCUAGCGGCGCGCUUUAGGCAUGCAAGUCGAACGACCCCACCCUCUAAGCUUCUGAAUCGCAGACGAAACUGUUGGUUCGGCGGCCUAGAGGGUGGGGAGUGGCAGACGGGUGAGUAACGCGUAGGAAUCUACCUAGAAGUGGGGAAUAACUCCGGGAAACCGGGGCUAAUACCGCAUGUGGUGCUGAGAGUAAUCGAAGUAUCAAAGGGCAUAACUGCUCGCUUCUGGAGGAGCCUGCGUUCCAUCAGCUUGUUGGUGGGGUAAAGGCCUACCAAGGCAACGACGGAUAGCUGGGCUGAGAGGUUGACCAGCCACAAGGGCACUGAGACACGGGCCCUACUCCUACGGGAGGCAGCAACCGGGAAUCGUAGACAAUGGGCGAAAGCCUGAUCUCGCGACGCCGCGUGGAGGAUGAAGGCCCUCGGGUCGUAAACUCCUUUUACAAGGGAAUAAGUCCGCCGGCUGGCGGAUUGACUGUACCUUGUGAAUAAGCCGCUGCUAACUACGUGCCAGCAGCCGCGGUGAUACGUAGGCGGCAAGCGUUACCCGGAAUUACUGGGCGUAAAGAGUGCGUAGGUGGUUUGGUAAGUUUUCGUUAAAAUACACUGGCUUAACCAGUGGACCGCGAAAAUACUACCAGACUAGAGAGGAAGUCAGGGGGUACCGGAAUAGAUGGUGGAGUAGUGAAAUGCGUUGAUAUCAUCUAGAACACCCAAGGCGAAGGCAGGUACCUGGGACUUUCCUGACACUGUUGCACGAAAGCGUGGGGAGCGAACCGGAUUAGAUACCCGGGUAGUCCACGCCGUAAACGAUGGACACUAGAUAUCGGGCUGGUGACGGUUCGGUGUCGUAAGCUAACGCGUUAAGUGUCCCGCCUGGGGAGUACGGCCGCAAGGCUAAAACUCAAAGGAAUUGACGGGGACCCGCACAAGCAGGGGAACGUGUGGUUUAAUUCGAGACAAAACGAAGAACCUUACCAGGGUUUGACAUGUAAGUGGUAGGAACCCGAAAGGGCAACAACCCGCAAGGGAGCUUACACAGGUGCUGCAUGGCUGUCGUCAGCUCGUGCCGUGAGGUGUACCCUUAAGUGGGGUAACGAGCGCAACCCCUAUCAGCUGUUGUAUCACUCAGCUGAGACUGCCUCCGUAAAUCGGGGGAGGAAGGAGGGGACGACGUCAAGUCCUCAUAGCCCUUAUGUCCUGGGCUACACACACGUUACAAUGGACGCUAACAAUAGGAUGCAACCUGGCGACGGGAAGCCGAUCCGUAAAAUGCGUUCUCAGUUGGGAUUGUAGUCUGCAAUUCGACUACAUGAACGCGGACUUGCUAGUACUCGCAGGUCAGCUACACUGCGGGGAAUACGUUCUCGGGUCUUGUACACACCGCCCGUCAAGUGAGCCGAGUCGGGGGUAGCUGAAGUAGGUCUUUAUGACUUCCGAGGCUAAAUUCGGCGAGGAGCGCUAAGUCGUAACAAGGUAUCCCUACUGGAAGGUGGGGAUGGAUCACCUCCUUU